CUGGCCCGGGUGGACAAAACCCGGAGGAAAGGUGGGGAUGACGUCAAGUCCUCAUGGCCCUUAUAGGUGGGGCUACACACGUCAUACAAUGGCUGGUACAAAGGGUUGCCAACCCGCGAGGGGGAGCUAAUCCCAUAAAACCAGUCGUAGUCCGGAUCGCAGUCUGCAACUCGACUGCGUGAAGUCGGAAUCGCUAGUAAUCGUGGAUCAGAAUGUCACGGUGAAUACGUUCCCGGGUCUU
rnacentral:rRNA from 1 species